GGCAGAGCUGUAAAAUAUCCAACGGGAUAUAGCCCGCUGUGCAGUGCCGAUAGAUGGACCGAUUCUAGCUCCAACUGCCAAGCCUGUCCCACACACACACAAACACACACACACACUCACACACACACACACACACACACACACACACACACACACACACACACACACACACACACACACACACACACACACACACAUACACACACACAUACACACACACACACACAAACACACACAAGCACACACACACACACAAAAACAAACAAAACACACAAACACACACACACGCACACAGACACACAUACACACACACACACACACACACACACACACACACACACACACACACACACACACACAACACACACACAGACACAAACACACACAGACACACACACAAAAACAAACACACACACACACACACACACACACACACACACAAACAGACACACAGACACAAAACGCACACACAAAAACACACACAGAUACACACAGACACACACACACACGCAUCUGGCAUCCUCGCGGAACCAAAUCCCAUCGCCCGUUGAAGGCACCCCACCCGCCUCUCUGGGGCUCCGCAUAAAACACAACAUGUGUACAGCUGCCACCAGUGUGUCGCCGGCAAUAUCAAUACGGCCUUUGUCUGCCUGUCCUACUUGUCUUGUUUAUGGAACCAGAGACACGCUGUCGUGGUUCCGUCGUCUAUUGUUCCCCGCUCGGAGCGCGUGCUUCUCCGGAGCUUCCACGGUGAGGAACUCCUUCUCUCCCGUUACAGAACGGAGAAAGAAGGAAAAAAAAGGAAAAACACUGCCACCUUUGUAUUUGUCUUUUUGUUUCAUGUCAUGUGUGGCGUUUGGCGUGAGCGAGAUUGCGUUGGAAGUGCGGUUUGUGUUGUGUGUUGUGUGUUGUUUUUGUUUUAUGUGUGUUCUUUUAUUUGAAGGCGCUUCUACACUCUGGCGAAAAAACAAACAAAGAAAUAAAUCAAAUACAUUACUAAGUAUAUUACAUAAAGAAAAUACACAAAGACCAGAAUGA
rnacentral:lncRNA from 1 species